GAGUUUGAACCUGGCUCAGGAUAAACGCUGGCGGCGCACAUAAGACAUGCAAGUCGAACGGACUUAACCAUUAGUUUACUAUUGGAGCGGUUAGUGGCGGACUGGUGAGUAACACGUAAGCAACCUGCCUAUCAGAGGGGAACAACAGUUAGAAAUGACUGCUAAUACCGCAUAUGCCUAAGUAACGCAUGUUACAAUAGGGAAAGGAGCAAUCUGCUGAUAGAUGGGCUUGCGUCUGAUUAGAUAGUUGGUGGGGUAAAGGCCUACCAAGUCGACGAUCAGUAGCCGGACUGAGAGGUUGAACGGCCACAUUGGGACUGAGAUACGGCCCAGACUCCUACGGGAGGCAGCAGUCGGGAAUAUUGCGCAAUGGAGGAAACUCUGACGCAGUGACGCCGCGUGCAGGAAGAAGGUUUUCGGAUUGUAAACUGCUUUAGACAGGGAAGAAACAAGACAGUACCUGUAGAAUAAGCUCCGGCUAACUACGUGCCAGCAGCCGCGGUAAUACGUAGGGAGCAAGCGUUAUCCGGAUUUAUUGGGUGUAAAGGGUGCGUAGACGGAGAAGCAAGUUAGUUGUGAAAUCCCUCGGCUUAACUGAGGAACUGCAACUAAAACUACUUCCCUUGAGUGCUGGAGAGGAAAGUGGAAUUCCUAGUGUAGCGGUGAAAUGCGUAGAUAUUAGGAGGAACACCAGUGGCGAAGGCGACUUUCUGGACAGUAACUGACGUUGAGGCACGA
rnacentral:rRNA from 1 species